CGACCUCAGAUCAGGCGGGAAUACCCGCCGGAUUUAAGCAUAUUAAUAAGCGGAGGAAAAGAAAACAACCGUGAUUCCCCCAGUAGCGGCGAGCGAACAGGGAAGAGCCCAUCGCCGAAUCCCGCCGCGCACUUUUGUGUCGCGGCACGUACGGGAGUUGUGGCGUACAGGCCGGCCUCGUUGCCGCCGCGCACGCGACCGUCCAAGUCUCCCUUGAACGGGGCCAUGGCCCGCAGACGGUGCCAGGCCGGUAGAGGCGGUCGCAGCGCGUCGGGAUCGGACCGCGCCUUCGAGUCGGGUUGCUUGAGAGUGCAGCCCGAAGCGGGUGGUAAACUCCAUCUAAGGCUAAAUACGACCACGAGACCGAUAGUGGACAAGUACCGUGAGGGAAAGUUGAAAAGAACUUUGAAGAGAGAGUUCAUAAGAACGUGAAACCGUUCGGGUGUAAACGGACAGAGCCCGCGAGUCCCCGCCGGGCGAAUUCACGGUCGGUCGCGCCGCCGGCGUUCCCCUCGGGGAGCGUUCGUCGGCCCGGCCGGCCGGAUCUUUCGCCCGGUCAGCGGACGUCGCGACUCGUUGGGCGCCGGCCGAAGGGCCCGGGUGGCGGUUCGCGCCGACGGCCGCGCUUGCGCGGCUCGCCGGCCCGAACCCCGGUGCUCCUGGUCGGCUCGCCCGACGGCAAGAACCGUCGACGCGGCCCCGCCUCGCGCGGGGCCCGUCGGUCGGCGACGAGUUUCGGGCUACUUUCCGACCCGUCUUGAAACACGGACCAAGGAGUCUAACGUGUGCGCGAGUCAACGGUGACCGUAACGAAAAACCACAUGUGGCGCAAUGAAAGUGAACGGCCGGCGGUCCGCUCGCGGGCCGCCGGCCGCGGACGAUGGCCAGGCCACCGAACCCGCUGGCGUUCAGAGUGGCGCCGGUCCGCAGUCCGGGGGCGUCUCCGCCGGGUCGGCUUCGGCCGUCCGGGGGCGCACCCUUAGCGCACACGUUGGUACCCGAAAGAUGGUGAACUAUGCCUGGCCAGGAUGAAGUCAGGGGAAACCCUGAUGGAGGUCCGCAGCGAUUCUGACGUGCAAAUCGAUCGUCUGAGCUGGGUAUAGGGGCGAAAGACUAAUCGAACCAUCUAGUAGCUGGUUCCAUCCGAAGUUUCCCUCAGGAUAGCUGGCGCCGAGGAUUGUCCCGCCCGUUCGCGGGCGAAAGGACGCCGGUGGGGCUCCGCGCUGUUGUCGGCGCGGUAUCAAAACCGAGUCGUAACACGGAGGAUGUCUCAUACGGUAAAGCGAAUGAUUAGAGGACAUUGGGGCCGAAACGACCUCAACCUAUUCUCAAACUAUAAAUGGGUGAGAUCGCCGGCCUUACCUGAUAUCGGGCGCGCUAGCGUGCGAGGCCGGCGACGGAACCCUAGGCGCUUAGUGGGCCAUUUUUGGUAAGCAGAACUGGCGCUGCGGGAUGAACCGAACGCCGAGUUAAGGCGCCGAAAUCGACGCGUAUUCAGAGACCAUGAAAGGCGUUGGUUGCUGAUGACAGCAGGACGGUGGCCAUGGAAGUCGGAAUCCGCUAAGGAGUGUGUAACAACUCACCUGCCGAAGCAACUAGCUCUGAAAAUGGAUGGCGCUGGAGCGUCGUGCCUAUACUCGGCCGUCGGCGGCACAGUGGGGCCGGACGCCGGGUUCGCCCGUCGGCCGGUCCCGGUACGCCCCGACGAGUAGGAUGGCGCGGCGGUGUGCGUCGAAGGGCAGGUCGCGAGACCGCCUGGAGCCGCCGUCGGUGCAGAUCUUGGUGGUAGUAGCAAAUACUCGAGAGGGGCCCUCGGGGGCUGCCGUGGAGAAGGGUUUCUUGUGAACAGCCGUUGUCCAAGAGUCAGUCGAUCCUAAGCCCGGGGAGAGAUCCUCGUACCACGGGCGAAGGCGCAUUACGAAACGCCCAUGGGGCGAGAGGGAAUCCGGUCCGUAUUCCGGAACCCGACGCGGAACCGCUCCCUAGUGUUCGGGGCUCUUUUGUCUCGUCCGGGCAACCGGAAUGAACUCGGAGAAGCCGCCGGCCGGUCCGGGAAGAGUUCUCUUUUCUCUGUGAGCGUUGUACGUCCCUGGAAUCCUCUAGCCGGGCGAUAGGGACGCGAGCGCGAAGAGCACCGCUCGUUGCGGCGGUGUCCGUGACCGGCACGCGGACCUUGAAAAUCCGAGAGAGGGCCACGCGGAGUCUUCGCGUCGGUUCGUACCGAUAUCCGCAGCAGGUCUCCGAGGUGAGCAGCCUCUAGCCGCAUAGAAUAAUGUAGGUAAGGGAAGUCGGCAAAACCGAUCCGUAACUUCGGGAUAAGGAUUGGCUCUGAGGAGCGUGGCGGCUCGGGUUCGGGCCGAGUAGAAGCGUAGGCGGAGCUGGCGGCACCCCGGCCGUCGCCCCGUGCGCCCCUCCGGGGGCGCGCGUCGAGGCGGCCGCGGGCCCGCCGCCGUUCGCCGACCGUGGAACCACCGAGCUUCGGCCGUCGGCCGCCGGCGGG